rnacentral:rRNA from 1 species
GACGAACGCUGGCGGCGUGCUUAACACAUGCAAGUCGAACGGAAAGGCCCGGCUUUUGUGGGGUGCUCGAGGGGCGAAGGGGUGAGUAACACGUGAGUAACCUGCCCCUGACUUUGGGAUAUCUUCAGGAAACAGGGGCUAAUACCGGAUAGGAGCUCUUGCUGCAGGGUGGGGGUUGGUAAGAUUCGGCGGUUGGGGAUGGACUAGCGGCUUAUCGGCUUGAUGGUGGGGUAGUGGCUUACCAAGGCUUGGACGGGUAGCAGGCCUGAGAGGGUGACCGGCUCCACCAGGCCUGAGAUACGACCCAGCCUCCAAUCGGACGCAGCGGUGGAGAGUAUUACACAGUACGCUGGAGCCUAGCGUGGCCCCGCAGCGCGCGGUAUGACGGGCUGCGGGUUGGGAACCACUUUCGCUUUACCCGAGACGUUAGUGACGGUACUGGGUAAAGAAGCACCGGCUAACUACGUG